rnacentral:rRNA from 1 species
CUGCUGCCUUCCGUAGGAGUCUGGUCCAUGUCUCAGUACCAGUGUGGGGGACCUUCCUCUCAGAACCCCCACGCAUCGUCGCCUUGGUGGGCCGUUACCCCGCCAACUAGCUAAUGCGACGCAUGACCAUCCGUAGCCGGAAUCGCUUCCUUUAAACCCGAGGAGAUGCCUCCUCGGGUUGUUACGCGGUAUUAGACGGAAUUUCUUCCGCUUAUCCCCCUGCUACGGGCAGGUUUCAUACGUGUUACUCACCCGUGCGCCGGUCGCCGGCGGG